GCCUCGUUAGUGCAGUAGGUAGUGCGUCAGCGUCAUAAUCUGAAUGUCAUGAGUUGGAUCCUCACAAGAGGCA